rnacentral:rRNA from 1 species
UACGGAGGGUGCAAGCGUUAUCCGGAUUCACUGGGUUUAAAGGGUGCGUAGGCGGUAGGUAAGUCCGUGGUGAAAUCUCUGAGCUUAACUCAGAAACUGCCAUGGAUACUAUUUGUCUUGAAUAUUGUGGAGGUGAGCGGAAUAUGUCAUGUAGCGGUGAAAUGCUUAGAUAUGACAUAGAACACCAAUUGCGAAGGCAGCUCACUACACAGUUAUUGACGCUGAGGCACGAAAGCGUGGGGAUCAAACAGG